UACGAAGGGGGCUAGCGUUGCUCGGAAUCACUGGGCGUAAAGCGCACGUAGGCGGAUUGCUAAGUCAGGGGUGAAAUCCUGGAGCUCAACUCCAGAACUGCCUUUGAUACUGGCGAUCUCGAGUCCGGGAGAGGUGAGUGGAACUGCGAGUGUAGAGGUGAAAUUCGUAGAUAUUCGCAAGAACACCAGUGGCGAAGGCGCUCACUGGCCCGGUACUGACGCUGAGGUGCGAAAGCGUGGGGGAGCAAACAGG
rnacentral:rRNA from 1 species